GAUAAAAUAUAAGAGGUCCAGCCUGCCCAGUGAUAUAAUUAAACGGCCGCGGUACCCUGACCGUGCAAAGGUAGCAUAAUCACUUGUUCUCUAAAUAAGGACUCGUAUCAACGGCAUCACGAGGGUUAUACUGUCUCCCCCUUCCAAUCAGUGAAACUGACCUCCCCGUGAAGAGGCGGGGAUAUUUAUACAAGACGAGAAGACCCCAUGGAGCUUUAAACCCAAUAACAACCUUUACUAAAUAUAUCUUAAAAAUGAAAAGGCACUGUUUAUUGGUUUUAGGUUGGGGUGACCACGGAGAAAAAUUAAUCCUCCAUGACGAAUGGACCUUAAUCCUAAUCUACGAGCUACCGCUCCAAGAAUCAUUAAUUUGACAUACUUGAUCCGGCAACCGAUCAACGAACCAAGUUACCCUGGGGAUAACAGCGCAAUCCAUUUCAAGAGCCCCUAUCGACAAAUGGGUUUACGACCUCGAUGUUGGAUCAGGGUAUCCCAGUGGUGCAGCCGCUACUAAAGGUUUGUUUGUUCAACAAUUAAAACCCUACGUGAUCUGAGU
rnacentral:rRNA from 1 species